rnacentral:rRNA from 1 species
GUUUGAUCCUGGUUCAGGACGAACGCUGGCGGCUUGCUUAACACUUGCAAUUCAAGCGGAUAUGCCCUUCCGGGUACUCAACCAGCGAACGAGUGAUUAACUACACUGAUCAAUCUGCCCUUAUCUUCGGGAUAUCCCCGGGAAACCUGGAUUAAUACCCAAUAUGACCUCGGCCGACCUCGGCCUUGGUGGAAAGUUUUUCGGCUAAGGAUGAACUCGCGGCCUAUCAGCUUGUUGGUGGGGUAAUGGCCUACCAAGGCGACGAUCGGGUAGCCGGCCUGAAAGGAGCAACCGGCCACACUGGGACUGAAACACCGCCCACACUCCUACGGGAGGCAGCUGUGGGGAAUAUUGCGCAGUGGGCGAAUGCCUGACACAACCACCCCGCGUGGGGGAUGAGUGCCUUCAGGUUGUACACCCCUUU